rfam:Triticum aestivum genome assembly, contig: Triticum_aestivum_CS42_TGACv1_scaffold_623321_7DS
GAACUACUCCCUCUGUCUGAAAUUACUUGUCGCAAAAAAGAUAAAAAUGAAUGUAUCUAGAACUAAAAUACGUCUAGAAACAUCCAUUUCCGUGACAAGUAAUUCAGGACGGAGGGAGUACUUG